CCUACGGGAGGCAGCAGUAGGGAAUCUUCCGCAAUGGGCGAAAGCCUGACGGAGCAACGCCGCGUGAGUGAUGAAGGUCUUCGGAUCGUAAAACUCUGUUAUCAGGGAAGAACAAAUGUGUAAGUAACUGUGCACAUCUUGACGGUACCUGAUCAGAAAGCCACGGCUAACUACGUGCCAGCAGCCGCGGUAAUACGUAGGUGGCAAGCGUUAUCCGGAAUUAUUGGGCGUAAAGCGCGCGUAGGCGGUUUUUUAAGUCUGAUGUGAAAGCCCACGGCUCAACCGUGGAGGGUCAUUGGAAACUGGAAAACUUGAGUGCAGAAGAGGAAAGUGGAAUUCCAUGUGUAGCGGUGAAAUGCGCAGAGAUAUGGAGGAACACCAGUGGCGAAGGCGACUUUCUGGUCUGUAACUGACGCUGAUGUGCGAAAGCGUGGGGAUCAAACAGGAUUAGAUACCCUGGUAGUCCACGCCGUAAACGAUGAGUGCUAAGUGUUAGGGGGUUUUCCGCCCCUUAGUGCUGCNGCUACGCAUAAGACACUCCGCCGUGGGAGGUACGACCGCGAGGUUAGUAACGUACGAAGUAGAAGUUAGUACGGACGUGAGACGUUGCCGACGGACGACGACGAGGGGAGGUAGGG
rnacentral:rRNA from 1 species